rnacentral:rRNA from 1 species
AAAAUAAAUUUCCAACGUCUAACACACAUCGUUUACGGCAUGGACUACGAGGGUAUCUAAUCCUCUUCGCUACCCAUGCUUUCGUUCCUCAGUGUCAGUAAUGAUCCAGAAAGCUGCCUUCGCAGUUGGUAUUCUUUCUAAUAUCUACGAAUUUCACCUCUACACUAGAAAUUCUGCUUUCCUCUAUCAUACUCUAGCUGAAAAGUUUUGAUGGCAGUUCCAGAGUUAAGCUCUGGGAUUUCACCACCAACUUUUUCAACCACCUACGAACUCUUUAAGCCCAGUAAUUCCGAACUACGCUAGGUCCCUUCGUAUUACCGCGGCUGCUGGCACGAAGUUAGCCGGACCUUCUUAUUCGGGUACAGUCAUUUUCUUCCCCGACGAAAGAGCUUUACAACCCAAAGGCCUUCUUCACUCACGCGGCACCGCUGCAUCAGAGUUUCCUCCAUUGUGCAAGAUUCCCCACUGCUGCCUCCCGUAGGAGUUUGGGCCGUGUCUCAGUCCCAAUGUGGCUGAUCAUCCUCUCAAAUCAGCUAUUGAUCAUAGUCUUGGUAGGCCAUUACCCUACCAACAAACUAAUCAAGUGCGGGCUCAUCCAAUGGUGCAUAAAGCUUUCUCCGUAAAGACUUAUCCGGUAUUAGCACAAGUUUCCUCGUGUUAUUCCAGGCCAAAGGGUAGAUACCCACAUGUUACUCACCCGUCUGCCACUAAGUAUUGCUACUUCGUUCGACUUGCAUGUGUUAGGCGUGCCGCCAGCGUACGUUCUGAGCCAGGAUCAAACUCU